UGACGGAAGGGCACCACCAGG
rnacentral:ncRNA from 2 species